UUGUGGCCUCGCUUGUUCUGAAUGCCUUUCCCCCACACCACUCUGUGUAGGGACGUGGCUUUUUAGAAGGCAGCAGGGCCUGGAUUUUGAUGCAGACACUGUCAGUGAUGGGACUGUGCUGCCGCUUUGUGUCUGUCAUAAGCCACUACAGUGAGAGCAGUUUUGUGGAAGGGAAAGCUGAUUAUUAUUGCCUGAUCCUGAGGCUGGCUCUGAAUAUGGACUUCACGCAUAAUUCCAGACGGCUCAAGGUCAAAAAGGUUAAGUGGGAGGUCGGGGCCUCGUAUCAGUGACUGGUGCCAAAUCUGAGAUUCUGGCCAAAAGAACGAAAGAAGUAGCAGAUUAAAAUCCGGCGUGCAGGCCAGGAAACAUUUGCAAGUCGACUGAUGUAGAGAGGAGCCAGUGUCCGCAACGUGUCCUUGCCGCAUGGAGAAAAUGAAAUGAAAACAGGCUGCUGACUUUCUUUCUGCCACUGCUCUCUGUGCACAGAUGACCCCCUCGGAAGCCUGGAGAACAGGACAGGAUUGGAGGACCACGUUCUCCUGGAGCCUGGGCUCGGGUACAGUGUGGAAGCUGGUCCUCCUGGCCAGGGAGACCUCCUGAGCAGCAUGCUACCUUCCUCCUCGGUGCCAGAGUUGAUGACAAUUAGUAAGUUGCUGAGUCUCCUCCGCCAAUGCCGGCUUGUCCAUAUUUUGGCUGACCAUUUCCGUCUUGGCUCUCGUGUCUUCGGAACUCUGUGGAAGCUUGCCGUUAUUACUGCCACCGUUGCAAUUUGUGCAUGUCUUAUUUACCUCUGGAGAGUUGUCCUUGCUACAGAGCCUCCAGUAUAUCCAGUUAAUGUACAGCAAAAAACUGCAAAGAGCAACACGUUGGAGAAAGAAAACACAGAGCUGGCUGAAGCAAUAUCCAUGUGGGAACAGAAGAUACAUCUUCAAGAAGCUAAGAGAGAAAGUAACAUUCACUCUGCUGAAGCUCUUAAGUUGAAAUCAGAAGAUGCAAACGGUCAGUUGGAGGAACUGAGAGCCUGGAGGUCCAAUAAACGUGCACUGGAAGCAAGGAUAAAGGACGUGGAAGACAUUCGUAAUGCUUUGAGUUCUACUAAAGCAAUCAGGGAAGAAACAGCCAAAAGCCUGAAGGAGAGAGGAGACGUCCUUGAUGAAUUCUAUGAAGAAAGAAAAAUGGCUACAGCAAAGAAUCUGGAUAUGACAAACUGUGAACUAGUGGCAAUGAAGAAUCAGAUGGCAACUGCAGAGGAAAAUCUGAAAAAAGCUACAAGGGACAUAGACAAGUGCAAACAGGAAAUUGAACAAACACGAGAACAGCUGCAGAAGGCAGAACUCACCUUCACACACCAGGUCGCAGUUUAUGAGCGUAAUGCUGCGGAAAACUGGAUCAAGACUCAGAUCUGGGAGACGAAAAUGGCGGGACAGAGCCGGGAGAUCGCCCGCUUGAAAUACAGACUGGAUGGGAUGGAAGGAAAGAGGCUGCUUGAGGGAUACAGGAGGCGGAGAACAAUGCCUGGAAGUCCAGAGACGCAGAACCCUCUGAGGAGAGGGUCCUUAGCAGAUCCAGAAACUGGUGCAACCUCUGUGAGUUACAGCAGCUCUGACUGUACGAAGAAUGCAGACAAGGACAAGCUGCCAGCUGAUUCUUCUUUGCUGCCAGUUCACACUGUGUCAUUUUCAGCUUCCUAAGAUGGGAAAGACAUAUACACAGUCCAGGAGCCAAGGUCCACAAAUUCUGCCUUUUUACCUCCCAGCACUCUUGAAGGCCUAGAUACAAAUACCUUUCCCCCACCUCUCCCAUAAAUGCACAGACUGACAACACAGUCAGAGAAAUGAACUGAACACCCCAUUUAAGUUAAAGAAAAUUCAACCUCUGUCUGCUGCCAUGUCUCUGCUGUCAGACCUGUUUCCUCUCCUUCAUCAUAAAAUCAUCAAAUAACAUUGCACUUUGUGCCUUCCCAGAGCUGGACUUUGGUUUGAGAUGGUGAAGGCUCAUUUCAGUUCAGUGUCAAAAACCUUGUCUGACCACCCAUACCCAUUAGGAUGAAGCAAGGGAUCAUCACUAGUCUCACACCUCCGUGGGGAGCCCUGAUUCUCAGUCCAGAAGUUGUACCCUGACAAAGACAAUCACCCUAAAAGACGACCUUCCAGGAUAUGGCUUCCCCAACAUUGCAGCUCACUCCCAGACAUUGCUAGAGUCAGGAGUACAACCCCUGCGUCCACCUUCACAUAUCCUGGUGGAGGAAAAGGCCAAUCUUAGAGCAGCAACAUCACCUGAGGUAGAACCUGAUAUGAACUGUCACACAGUCUGGGUUUAUCUCCAGGAAACAGAUUUCAGAUGGAAAACUAUCAACUUCAUGAAGCCAAUGUACUUGAAGAAGACUCAGUUCAUUGACAGUGAAGGCAGCAAAGGGAAAUGCUUAGAAAGGCUGGUUUGCUGUGUUGCUCUCAGACUAUUUUGUUCAUGGUGUUACUUUAAAGGGUUUCAACUUGGUACUGGAUGUAUUCAAGAGUCACAUGCAAAAUUGAAAGACUCCUAGAAACGGACACAAAACCUCUAGACAGAGAAAGGCACAUGCAUUUCCUUCCGGCAUCUCAGGCAGUCCUUCAACAAAUGCUUUCUGGAGUGGCUGGAAUGUAGUGGUUCUGUUGUAAGGGAUUGAAAAUAGAAAGGUGGCCAGGGUGCUGUACGUGCUCCCCAAAAGAGCUUAGAAAUGAUAAAAACAAGAUGCCAGUGAGACAGAGCAGGCUCCACCCCAGGUGUGGGAAGGACUAACAGAAGCUGAGUCUCCAGGGAAGAGAAGGAAGUAUUUCCUUUUCAAUGUGAAUGAGGGACUCUAAAGGCCCUGAUCUCCUCCUGAGAACAAAAGGAAAUACUGUACAAAGGAGGAAACAUGUGAGCGAAUGCACCACAUUUCUAAUGACCCCAUGAAGACACAUGUGACCAAGAUGGAGAAGAAGGAAGCCCAGGACAAAGCCAGCCUGGCAGUGGGAACCAAUCUCCCCAGGACUCAUCAAUGAACUUGGGGAUAGAAAACUGAACUGCAAAAUAGCUGAACAACUUUAUGGGCACAGACUUAGAAGGAAACGUGUUUAGUUCAGAGGCAGCCAGCAAAGAUGAGCCCUGGUGAAGCUGCGGGCUUUGGUCAAGACUCAGAAGAGUUACACUUCAAAAAUCGGGGGACAGGAAAUAACUCAGCUUCCUUAGGGAUUGGCCUGCUGUGAACAAUCUCACUAGCAGAACUGAUGCAGGGAUCCAGUACUACUGGCACCCCUACCCCCUUUCCAGAAAUAAAUUUCUGUGGUUUCUGCAGCAAAAUCAUUGAUUUUUCCCCUACACAUUCUUGACCCAUGUGUGGUCCUGAACAAAAAUGACCUAAUUCCUGGAUGACAAGACAACGUGAUGGGACUGAAUCCCAAGCAGAUACAGAUAUCAAUGUUAUUAAUGCUGAUACCUUCCCUCUUCCACCCCAAAUACAUGACACAAUAUGUGACAAGCACUUAGGACAGAAAGGAAAAUGCGGGUGACAGAAAGCCAGGAAUAAUAUUGAACAUUCAAGAAACGGGCGGUUCCCGACACAACAUACCUGUCAGGUUUCCAGUUGUUUCCAACGACUACAACAUUGUUGGGAAAAAAUCCCCACUGAAAGUUCAUAAAAGCAUGUGCGAUGUGGAGGGCACAUUGUGUUUUCACCUCUGGCUCUGGUUCCAGCAGGACUCGGAGAGUGGGUCUCAGCUCCUUCUUCUAGAAGGUCCUGAGAGUCAACAUUUGGCGGCUUCACUUCCCAACUGAAUGCGCCUCCUGUUCCUCCGAAUUUGUGUCAGGAUUUCUCCCCCGAAAGAGGCCUGACCUGGAACAAACCAACCCCAGCCUCUCUGACAUGGCGUCACGGGACCCCAUGAAUCCACGGAUCCUCCAGGGAAAUACCUGCAGGGGAAAUGAGGAACAAACCACGGAACAGCCCAGAAAAAGCGAGGGACUGUGCCGCCAACCCACCACCCGCGCUUCCGGGGAAGCCGCCCAGGCCCUGCCUCCCCCGCCUCGGGACUCAGCCCCACCACCUAGGAGACACCAAGGGGCUGCGAAGCCUCCAGGGUCUCCCCCAGGCCCGGGGGUGGAACCUGCUGGAAACACAGCUCUGGCUCUUUGCCCACACUCAGAGGCACUGGGUCCUCAGAAGCAAGGAAGCCUUCCCAGCCCCGAGGCGCCCUGGAUCAGAAAAGCCUAGUGGGCGCCUUCUCAGGCCAUCACUGGCCACUCAGAGGCCCGGCCCCUCCCUGGGAGUGGUGCAUGCGUGCCCUCUGCCGGCCGCGGUGGGAAUUCCGCAAUGCUCAAGGCCAUGGCUGCUCAGCUGGAAGUACUGAGAGUGCAGCUGGUCCAGUGAAGCCUGUUCUCCUGAUCGGGAAGGGUCUUACCAAAGGGCUUGCUUGGGACACAAAGAAACGUUUUCCUUCUCCUUUUUACUGAGUGAAAAAUGAAACCGAUUUUAUUGACAUAAUGAUAUCAUGUGUAAUGCUUUUAGCAGCUUUUGCAGAAAUACAGACACCUGCUGACCUACAGGUUAUGGUGUUUAGCACCAUAAUACUUGGGUUAAAUAAAAAAGUUGACACCUCUGAGAAAGAGAUACAGGCUUCCAGCUAUGGAAUGAAUAACUCAUUGGGAUCCAAGGUACAGCCCAUAGAAUAGCGUCAAUCCUGUAAGAAAGCGUUGCAGGCUUUCACAAUAUAGCUACCCUUAGGUACCUGGAGAGCGUAAUGUAUACACACGGAAUCACCAUGAUAUAUGCCUGAAACUGAUACAACAUGGUGAGUCUCCUAUAUUUCAAUUAAAAAUGACAAAAUUUUUAAUUUCUCCUUCACCAUUAAAAAUUAUUUCUAAUUGAGAA